rnacentral:rRNA from 1 species
ACUCGAGUGGCGAACGGGUGAGUAACACGUGGGUGAUCUGCCCUGCACUUUGGGAUAAGCCUGGGAAACUGGGUCUAAUACCGGAUAGGAGCCAUUUUUAGUGUGAUGGUUGGAAAGUUUUUCGGUGUAGGAUGAGCUCGCGGCCUAUCAGCUUGUUGGUGGGGUAAUGGCCUACCAAGGCGGCGACGGGUAGCCGGCCUGAGAGGGUGGACGGCCACAUUGGGACUGAGAUACGGCCCAG